CCUACGGGAGGCAGCAGUCGGGAAUAUUGCGCAAUGGAGGAAACUCUGACGCAGUGACGCCGCGUAUAGGAAGAAGUUUUUCGGAAUGUAAACUAUUGUCGUUAGGGGAGAGAAAGGACAGUACCUAAGGAGGAAGCUCCGGCUAACUACGUGCCAGCAGCCGCGGUACUACGUAGGGAGCGAGCGUUAUCCGGAUUUACUGGGUGUAAAGGGAGCGUAGACGGCAGUGUAAGUCAGGAGUGAAAGGCGGGGGCUCAACCCCCGGACUGCGCUUGAAACUGUACGGCUGGAGUGCAGGAGAGGUAAGCGGAAUUCCUGGUGUAGCGGUGAAAUGCGUAGAUAUCAGGAGGAACACCAGUGGCGAAGGCGGCCUACUGGACUGUAACUGACGUUGAGGCUCGAAAGCGUGGGGAGCAAACAGGAUUAGAUACCCCAGUAGUC
rnacentral:rRNA from 1 species